CCUACGGGAGGCAGCAGUGAGGAAUAUUGGGCAAUGGGCGAGAGCCUGAACCAGCCAAGUCGCGUGAGGGAAGACGGUCCUAGGGAUUGUAAACCUCUUUUGCCGGGGAGCAAAAAGCGGUACGUGUACCGCAUCGAGAGUACCCGGAGAGACAGCAUAGGCUAACACCGUGCCAGCAGCAGCGGUAAUACGGAGGAUGCGAGCGUUAUCAGGAUGUAUUGGGUUAAAAGGGUGCGCAGGCGGCGAGUUAAGUCAGCGGUAAAAUUUCGGGGCUCAACCCCGACGAGCCGUUGAAACUGGCUUGCUAGAGUGGGCUAGAAGUAUGCGGAAUGCGUGGUGUAGCGGUGAAAUGCAUAGAUAUCACGCAGAACUCCGAUUGCGAAGGCAGCAUACCGGCGCCCAACUGACGCUCAGGCACGAAAGCGUGGGUAUCGAACAGGAUUAGAUACCCUGGUAGUC
rnacentral:rRNA from 1 species